GAUGAACGCUGGCGGCGUGCCUAAUACAUGCAAGUAGAACGCUGAAGGAAGGAGCUUGCUCUUUCCGGAUGAGUUGCGAACGGGUGAGUAACGCGUAGGUAACCUGCCUGGUAGCGGGGGAUAACUAUUGGAAACGAUAGCUAAUACCGCAUAACAGUAGAUGUUGCAUGAUAUCUACUUAAAAGGUGCAAUUGCACCACUACCAGAUGGACCUGCGUUGUAUUAGCUAGUUGGUGAGGUAACGGCUCACCAAGGCGACGAUACAUAGCCGACCUGAGAGGGUGAUCGGCCACACUGGGACUGAGACACGGCCCAGACUCCUACGGGAGGCAGCAGUAGGGAAACUUCGGCAAUGGACGGAAGUCUGACCGAGCAACGCCGCGUGAGGGAAGAAGGGUUUCGGAUCGUAAAGCUCUGUUGUAAGAGAAGAACGAGUGUGAGAGUGGAAAGUUCACACUGUGACGGUAUCUUACCAGAAAGGGACGGCUAACUACGUG
rnacentral:rRNA from 1 species